AAACACAUGUUAUGGACCUUAAAAAAAACAGUAUCAGAGUUAAGGAAUAGUGUCGGCACCUCAAAAACUCCAUGGAGUUGGUGGGUGGAGUAGUUGUAGAGGAACAGAGGCAGGCCCGGAGUUAUUGCCCGGACUGAAUCUCGGUAACGUGGAGGCAAUCCUGCAUACGAUUCAUAACAACAAAGUA